GGAAAAAAUUGAACAACAUUAUCACAAGGGGCUGAAACCUAGGAAUACAUAAUUGGAGACAACACAUAGAACUUGGUGUAUCAUAUUGAAUGAGGAAGUUGAUAUACCUACUUGCUUCCUGCAUACAUAGCUCAUGGCUGGAGCCUAUAAUAGCACAAUCCCUGGAUGAUGUGGCAUACCAAUUAAUUCAAUGGUCAGGAGGGAUAGCUUCUCAUUUCACAGCAAGACUCCGGAACCUCUGCUGAGCUCUGAACUAUCUGACAGGUAAAUGGAAG